rnacentral:lncRNA from 1 species
AAUCAAAUCAACCCCGUGAAUCUUUUUCUCGCUGAGCCCAGUCCAAUACAAUAGAGUUCGACAUUUACAACCACACAAAGCUUCAUACGGUUCCAUCUUUAUGCUCGACUUAUAAUUUUUAUUGUAAUACCUUAAUUCUGCCCAGCCCAAAUCAAAAAAGUAAGCAAAAAAUAUAAAAAAUAAAAAACCAAAUCAGCAAAUAAAGGUCCAAACGUCCAAUUACAUCAACCCAAAUCAACCUAGCCCAAAACCUUACCCAGACCCAAAUCAUUUUUACCCAAGCCCAAUACAAACCCACUAAGCCAAAUUAACUAACCCUGGCCCAACCUAGCCUUCAGCAA